AUUGAACGCUGGCGGCAGGCCUAACACAUGCAAGUCGAGCGAGCGGCGGACGGGUGAGUAAUGUCUGGGAAACUGCCUGAUGGAGGGGGAUAACUCCUGGAAACGGUAGCUAAUACCGCAUACCAUCAUAUCUUCCCAAAUGGGAUUAGCUAGUAGGUCGGGUAACGGCUCACCUAGGCGACGAGCCCUAGCUGGUCUGAGAGGAUGACCAGCCACAAUGGAACUGAGACACGUUCCAGACUCCUACGGGAGGCAGCAGUGGGGAAUAUUGCACAAUGGGCGCAAGCCGGAUGCAGCCAUGCCGCGUGUGUGAAGAAGGCCUUCGGGUUGUAAAGCACUGUCAGCGGGGAGGCGUUACCCGAAGAAGAAGCACCGGCUAACUCCGUGCCAGCAGCCGCGGUAAUAC
rnacentral:rRNA from 1 species